rnacentral:snoRNA from 1 species
ACGACCUUACUUGAACAGGAUCUGUUCUAUAGGCUCGUACCUCAGUAUCCUUGAGUUCUAAGGAGACUGGAAACCAAGUCUGGUGGAUGAACCAUGGCCAUGGCUGCUCGACCAGAGCGUGAUUAACAGACUCGCUGGCUCAGCCCAGUUGACUCGGUGGAUGAUCGUUCUCGGCUAGCUUCGGCUUGUCGGGGUGGUUGUGCAGCUGUCUGACAGACU